UACGUAGGGGGCGAGCGUUGUCCGGAGUUACUGGGCGUAAAGCGCACGCAGGCGGUCUGCUAAGUUUGGAGUGACAGUUGGUGGCUUAACUGCCAAAGUGCUUCGAAAACUGACAGACUUGAGGGCUUCAGAGGGACACGGAAUUCCGGGUGUAGCGGUGGAAUGCGCAGAUAUCGGGAAGAACACCCGUGGCGAAGGCGGCACUCUGGGACGGUACUGACGCUGAGACGCGAAAGCGUGGGGAGCGAACAGG
rnacentral:rRNA from 1 species